UACGGAGGGUGCAAGCGUUAUCCGGAUUCACUGGGUUUAAAGGGUGCGUAGGUGGCUUUGUAAGUCAGUGGUGAAAGCCCGGAGCUCAACUCCGGAACUGCCAUUGAUACUGCUUAGCUUGAAUCACGUCGAGGUGGAUGGAAUAAUACAUGUAGCGGUGAAAUGCUUAGAUAUGUAUUAGAACACCGAUUGCGAAGGCAGUUCACUAGGCGUGUAUUGACACUGAGGCACGAAAAGCGUGGGGAUCAAACAGG
rnacentral:rRNA from 1 species